rnacentral:rRNA from 1 species
UACGGGGGGGCAAGCGUUGUUCGGAAUUACUGGGCGUAAAGGGCUCGUAGGCGGCCAACUAAGUCACACGUGAAAUCCCUCGGCUCAACCGGGGAACUGCGUGUGAUACUGGAUGGCUCGAGUCCGGGAGAGGGAUGCGGAAUUCCAGGUGUAGCGGUGAAAUGCGUAGAUAUCUGGAGGAACACCGGUGGCGAAGGCGGCAUCCUGGACCGGCACUGACGCUGAGGAGCGAAAGCCAGGGGAGCAAACG